CUCCCUACGGGGCGCAGCAGUGGGGAAUAUUGCACAAUGGGGGAAACCCUGAUGCAGCGACGCCGCGUGAGUGAAGAAGUAUUUCGGUAUGUAAAGCUCUAUCAGCAGGAACGAGACAAGACGGUACCUGACUAAGAAGCCCCGGCUAACUACGCGCCAGCAGCCGCGGUAAUACGUAGGGGGCAAGCGUUAUCCGGAAUCACUGGGUGUAAAGGGAGCGUAGACGGCUGUGCAAGCCUGAAGUGAAAGGCGGGGGCCCAACCCCUGGACUGCUUUGGGAACUGCCAGGCUGGAGUGCCGGAGAG
rnacentral:rRNA from 1 species